AAUAUUGUACACUGGGGUCAACCCUGAUCCAGCCAUGUCGCGUGUGUGAAUAAGGUCUUCGGAUUGUAAAGCACUUUAAGUUGGGAGGAAGGGCUUUAGUCUAAUACCUUAAAGUCUUGACGUUAUCAACAGAAUAAGCACCGUCUAACUCUCUUCCAGCAGCCGCGGUAAUACAGAGGGUGCAAGCGUUAAUCGGAAUUACUGGGCGUAAAGCGCGCGUAGGUGGUUCAGUAAGAUGGGUGUGAAAUCCCCGGGCUUAACCUGGGAACUGCUUUCAUAACUGCUGAGCUAGAGUACGGUAGAGGGUAGUGGAAUUUCCUGUGUAGCGGUGAAAUGCGUAGAUAUAGGAAGGAACACCAGUGGCGAAGGCGACUACCUGGACUGAUACUGACACUGAGGUGCGAAAGCGUGGGGAGCAAA
rnacentral:rRNA from 1 species